GGAGGGGUUCCCGAGUGGCCAAAGGGGGCAGACUGUAAAUCUGCUGGCUCAGCCUUCGAAGGUUCGAAUCCUUCCCCCUCCACCA
rnacentral:tRNA from 1 species